CUGGAAUAUUUUUCCCAGUGCAGGAAAUCUCCAUGCAUUGCCAGAAAGCUGUCUGUUGUGCCGAGUGGUGCAGCAUGCUGAAGCCUGUCUGUGAACCACAGGCAGGAAGGUAAGACUGAGAGCACCUGAUCAUUUUCACACCACGCAAGACGCUCGUCCCUUGACUUAGAACAAAUUUCCGUAAGAAAACAAACCCUGGCUUCAAUCUGGAUCAGGUCCCAUCUGUGUGACCAAACAGAUUCCACAUGGCACCAGUAUUCUGACAAAAUGGAGACUUUUUCCUCCUGGC
rnacentral:lncRNA from 1 species